GCCUACGGGGGGCAGCAGUAGGGAAUUUUCGUCAAUGGGCGCAAGCCUGAACGAGCAAUGCCGCGUGAACGAGGAAGGUCUUCGGAUCGUAAAGUUCAGUUGAAGGGGAAAAAGAGCGGAGAGAGGAAAUGGUCUCCGAUUGAUAUUACCCUUCGAGGAAGUCACGGCUAACUACGUGCCAGCAGCCGCGGUAAUACGUAGGUGGCGAGCGUUAUCCGGAAUGAUUGGACGUAAAGGGUGCGCAGGCGGCCUGCUAAGUCUGGAGUGAAAGGUACCGGCUCAACCGGUACAGGCUCUGGAAACUG
rnacentral:rRNA from 1 species